rnacentral:rRNA from 1 species
UACGUAGGAUCCAAGCGUUGUCCGGAUUUACUGGGUGUAAAGGGUGCGCAGGCGGGCUGGUAAGUCUGGGGUGAAAUCUCGCCGCUCAACGGCGAAACUGCCUUAGAUACUAUUAGUCUUGAAUAAGCGAGAGAUCCGUGGAAUUCCGAGUGUAGCAGUGAAAUGUGUAGAUAUUCGGAAGAACACCAGCGGCGAAGGCAGCGGGUUGGCGCUUUAUUGACGCUCAGGCACGAAAGCAUGGGGAUCAAACAGG